rnacentral:miRNA from 12 species
AUAUUCUGUUUUACGUGCGAGUUCCACUAAGCAAGUUUUGAGAAUUUUUUAAAAACAAAAACUUGACACGUUGAGCUCGUCCGUGGGGCAGAUAAUGUCAGCAG